GGAGCCAUCAUGUGAUUCACCGUCUGUCACAACAACCAUUACUUUUGUGGCUGCUGGACGUCCUCCUGAUUCAGGAUUCUACCUACCACUGGGAACCUACUCAGAGGCCCGGAGCAAAUUGUCUCCUGGUGGGAAUGAAAUCAGGAUGUUCUCCUUGCUGUUUAAGGUCUCACACAGGCAACACUUCAGAUCAGAAGGCUUUGCCAGAAUGAGGACUCAGAAGAACCAUACGCAUGUUUGGAGCCUGGACUGGUGCAAUGCCUCUGAAUACAGAGGAGCAAGACCAUAUUCACAUCAGCAUUGGGUCAUGAUUUGUCAGUCCUUAUGUAUCAAUCACAGGACUUUGCUUUUGGAACAUACAUUUUUUAAGAAAUCAAAAUCAACUGUCCUCAACACAACGUAGUUUGAC